rnacentral:lncRNA from 10 species
AGUUACAGAGCUUUCACUCUAGCAUCUGAAAAAGGAACCAACUCCUGCUAAAUCUUGAGAAUUGACACAUUGAAGCCUUAUCUUCAGACUCUGAAAAAGGCUGGAAGCUUAUCAUGGGCCUGGAUCUUGUGCUAUUCAAAUGUUUUCACCGAUGCCUACAACUGUAUUUGGCACAUAGAAGAUGAAGAUGGGGAGAGAAUCAUGGCAUCAAUAAAUACAGGAUAUGAUUCUAUUUUAGUAAUCCUCUGAAGAUCAUCCUGAUGCAAACAAUAAACCUCAGAACAUCUCAAACCCAAGGAGUCUGGAUUUUCCUGACAUCAAUGUAUCCUUUUGAGUAUAUUAUCGUAUCUCUUAACAUUUCUGUUUCAUCCUUGACCUGAGACUUUUUUUUUUUUUUUUAAUCUUGAGAUAAUUCUUGGCUUUGUCAAGGCUACUGGUGACAAAAGCAUUAGCAAGCAGGUAAGUUCUGACCUUUUUUGUACCUUAUUUUUUUUUCAUUAUUUUACUUCUUUUUUCUUUUUGGUGAUUUGUUUUACAAAAUUCAGAUAUUUCUACUUUCAGCAAUAGACUCUGCAGGAGUCUUUCGGUUUCUCAAAAUCUAUUGUGAUAAUUUAUGGAGGUGUUUUACAACACACAUACAUAAAAUACUGUGUGGUUUUAUUUGUCUUAAUGUGCACUGACUUUGCUAUAAAAUAUAUUUAACUUUUAUCAUUAGCUACAGCAGUGUAUCUCAUAACAUUCAAUAGCCAUGCAUAAAACAUCUGAUGAUUACGCUGUUUGAAAUCUAGCUUCAAAGAUUGCAAUUUAAGUAAUUAGAAAAUUGGUGGAAUAUUUUUCUUGCAUAUCAUUAAAAUUUUUUUUCUGCAAACUACAAAAACACAUUUCUGAAAAGUACUGUAAUUGAUUGCCACCAACACAUACCAAGUGUCACUUCUGAUUCUAUUAAAACAGAGAUUUCUGUUAGUCACUGUAAUAAAA